UUUAGUCUAAAGAAGCUGGCAAAAUUGCACUGUAGAAAUGAACAGUGUUUUGUAAGACAUUUCAGUUUAUUUACAAGAUUACCACUGGCCCUCUCUGCCGUUAGUCUUGAUGCAUACGUGUUGAUGAUCGUGGGAAGGAAGAACGAUGGUAAAGGCGGUCUUUUUCGUUUCCUUCUCAAACCCUCCUUGCCUCUUCCGUCUCACAAACCUGACGAGAACGACGCAGACGGUCUCGCGUCCAUCCUAUCCUCCUCUCACCGCCGUCUGCCUUCCCUCGCCUAUGUCGUCUUACUCCAUCGUUUGCGUCAUGGAGGCCCAUGCGUGGUUUUUUGGGUGGGGAUUUCAGAUUUCAAGGGGGAGAGAGGUUGUGCUUCGUUUCGAUCUGGUCUUGGCUUCAAUAAAAUCAGCACCCACAACUGGAGGAGUCAAGAAGCCUGACUGCUACCGACCUGGAAUCGUCGCUCUUCGUGAAAAAACAUACUAAAGCAACAACAUUAUGGUGGUGGCAAUAAGCGUUCUCAGUUUGAUCGAAUCAGGUUGAAUUGAAUAAUCCUUGAAGUGACAAGAAGGAGCUGACUGAGCAAGUUUGCCUCAAGCUGGUGAAGGAAUCACGGUAACAGAGCCCAGACUAUAAGAGAAGGUGGUAGUGAAAUUGGAUUUACAUAACGACAGAGAAAAUAAAAAGGCCUUGAAAGAAGUCUCCAGCCUUACAGGUAUCAAUUUUUUCUUUUAAGCAUGUUGGUUUAAUUUGGCUCCGUGAAAAACUUAGAAUAUAAUAAAAAUGUAAAAACAAUUCCGAAUUAUUUUUCAUUCAUCAGGACCCACUAAGUUCUUUGUAUUGGUUGAUAAGUUAAUGAAAAUUUGUCAAGUUUUAUGUUUUUAUGUAUGCUUAUUGUGUAUAAAAUGAUCCGUGUCUGUAAAAAUUGAACCUUUGGCUUAUUUCUGUUCAAAAAUUAAAUUUUUCGAUCUGCUUUUUCAUAUUGUGGGAUGAUUAUUUUGUAAAAACUUGACCUUUGGCUCAUACAUGUGUAAACCUGAGGAUUUGGAGUUGUUUUCUUUGUUGGUUAUGAAUUUUAGGUGACUAAAUUGGUGGUUUCGUAUAUUAAGUUAAGUUACAAAGUAGAUUUUUCCUUCAUUUUGGAAAAGUGUGUAGCGAAGUUCCUGUUCAUUACAAUAUUAUAAUUUUGAUAAGAGCUUUGUCUACAUGUUUUUUGUUGAGUAAUGGUUUACUUGGUUAGAAGAAACUCUUUGAGGUUAUGUUAAAAUCUAUUUUGUGGAUGAAUCUAAUUAGUUAAAUUUGUCGGGUUUAUGUUAUGUAAGAAAUUAUUGCAAAGUUGAGUCUUUAUUUUUCUGAGUUAUGUUAAUAAUUCUACCUAAAUUUUUUGUAAAUUCAUGGUUGGGUUUAAGUUAUAUUAUUAAACAUGGAUCAUUAAAGUCUCAGUACAACUGGAUGUUUGUUUACUUGCACAAAUUUUUUGUGCAUAGAAGUUUGUUUCUGCUUCUCAGGUUCUUUGUCCCCGUGUUUAUUAUUUGUGUUUUUCUCUAUUCAUUUGGGCUGUCUCAGUGAUUGAAGAUCUUAGUCAAGGUUCUUUCCUUAUCAUUUCAAGCUAGAUUAGCUGAUGAGUGAUGCUCU